GCCAGACUCCUACGGGAGGCAGCAGUGGGGGAUAUUGCACAAUGGGGGGAACCCUGAUGCAGCGACGCCGCGUGGGUGAAGGAGCGUUUCGGCGCGUAAAGCCCUAUCGGCAGGGAAGAAGGAGGACGGUACCUGACUAAGAAGCCCCGGCUAACUACGUGCCAGCAGCCGCGGUAAUACGUAGGGGGCAAGCGUUAUCCGGAUUUACUGGGUGUAAAGGGGGCGCAGACGGCAGCGCAAGCCAGGAGUGAAAGCCCGGGGCCCAACCCCGGGACUGCAUUGGGAACUGGCGCGCUGGAGUGCCGGAGGGGUAGGCGGAAUUCCUAGUGUAGCGGUGAAAUGCGUAGAUAUUAGGAGGAACACCAGUGGCGAAGGCGGCCUACUGGACGGUGACUGACGCUGAGGCUCGAAAGCGUGGGGAGCAAACAGGAUUAGAUACCCUCGUACC
rnacentral:rRNA from 1 species